GAUAAAAAUUAUAUAAAGUUUCUAACUUUAAAUAAGCAUUAUAAAUGUUUUUUAUCU
rnacentral:tRNA from 1 species